CGCCCGCCCGCCGGCCGCUUCCGCUCUCGGCGCAGGCGCAGCAGCUCUACCGGCGAGUGGAGGGGGUUCGGGAGAAGAGCGGACGCGGCUGGCGAGGAUGGUGCUGGAGAGCGUGGCCCGCAUCGUGAAGGUGCAGCUCCCUGCGUAUCUUAAGCGACUCCCAGUCCCCGAGAGCAUUACCGGGUUCGCCCGGCUCACAGUUUCAGAAUGGCUUCGGUUAUUGCCUUUUCUUGGUGUCCUUGCACUGCUUGGCUACCUUGCAAUUCGUCCGUUCUUCCCGAAGAAAAAACAACAGAAGGAUAGCUUGAUUAAUCUUAAAAUACAAAAGGAAAACCCCAAAGUGGUGAAUGAAAUAAACAUUGAAGAUUUGUCUCUUACUAAAGCAGCUUAUUGUAGGUGUUGGCGUUCUAAGACGGUGAAGAGGUGAAUGAACUCAAUUUUAGAGCUCCACAGAGAACGCAAGCUUAUGUUGAUACUUUUUAAACCUAUUUUGGUCACUCAUGGAAUCAUCCUAAGUUUCCUGUUUGUGAUGGUUCACAUAAUAAACACAAUGAAUUGACAGGAGACAAUGUGGGGCCACUAAUACUGAAGAAGAAAGAAGUAUAAUAGUAUAUAAUAAUAUAAUAGUACUGAAUUAGGAGUGAAUUCAUUUGUGUGCUGUAAAAUCCUAUAUUUACUCAUUCUUUGUGUAUUUUCUCAUUCUUUGAAAUGGUGGUCUUAAUUAUUACUACUGAUGGAAUAAUUAUUUCUGCCAAUUUUCUUGCUACUCUGCUGCUUAUAUUUGGUACUUUGUAUAACAGUCAUUUAUGUAGAAAUUGUGAAAGUCUCUCAUUUUGACUUCUAAGAAUUAAUGUAUCUUCCAAUAAUAAAAUCAACACUUCUCAACCCUUAA